UACGUAGGGUGCAAGCGUUAAUCGGAAUUACUGGGCGUAAAGCGUGCGCAGGCGGUUUUGUAAGUCAGAUGUGAAAUCCCCGGGCUUAACCUGGGAACUGCGUUUGAAACUACAAGGCUAGAGUGUGACAGAGGGGGGUGGAAUUCCACGUGUAGCAGUGAAAUGCGUAGAGAUGUGGAGGAACACCGAUGGCGAAGGCAGCCCCCUGGGUUA
rnacentral:rRNA from 1 species